AUUUAUAUAGUUUAAUAAAAAAAACCCCUCAUUUUCAAUGAGAAGAUAAGAUUCAAUCUUUAUAAAUA
rnacentral:tRNA from 1 species